UUAAAUGAAUUGACGGGGAGCACCACAACGGGUGGAGCUUGCGGUUUAAUUGGAUUCAACGCCGGAAAUCUUACCGGGACCGACAGCAAUAUGAAGGCCAGGCUGAAGACUUUGCCGGAUUAGCUGAGAGGUGGUGCAUGGCCGUCGUCAGUUCGUACUGUGAAGCAUCCUGUUAAGUCAGGCAACGAGCGAGACCCACGCCCACAGUUGCCAGCGUACUCUCCGGAGUGACGGGUACACUGUGGGGACCGCCGCUGCUAAAGCGGAGGAAGGAAUGGGCAACGGUAGGUCAGUAUGCCCCGAAUAUCCCGGGCUACACGCGAGCUACAAUGGUUGGUACAAUGGGUAUCUACCCCGAAGGGGGACGGGAAUCUCCUAAAACCAAUCUUAGUUCGGAUUGAGGGCUGCAACUCGCCCUCAUGAAGCUGGAAUCCGUAGUAAUCGCGUUUCAACAGAACGCGGUGAAUACGUCCCUGCUCCUU
rnacentral:rRNA from 1 species